ensembl:lncRNA
CAGAAGACCACCCCAUGAAACACUGCAGAUAGCGCCUGCAGGACAUUUGCAGGUGGGCACCAGGAGGGAGGGAAGGAGAAUCUGCAGCACCUCUGACCCGCCUGGUUACCGAUUCUAUCUGUGGGAUGUGCAGCCCUGGUUGAAACUGCUGGUGGGCUGAAAAAGUGACAGACCUCUUUUGGAAGUUCUUAAGGUUGUCACUUGAAGGGAGGCCCAGGGCAGCUGGAGCUGCGGGGGUGAAGACAUCCUGGUCUGCAGCCAGCAGAGGACUCCUGCCUGUCGACCAGGCCGCCAGCACUGCUCGAGGCCGGAGUGCAGGACCCUGGAGCGGCCCCAUUACAAAAUGCCAGUCACUGGGAAGGAAGGAGCAGGCAGGUCAUGCGGGCGUGCGCUCCGGAUGGAAAAGCAGGAGCCAAGUUCUUCCUUCAGAAGGGGGAGGCCCUUGUGAUUCACUGAGAGUGGGGUUUCCGUGGAGGCUUCCCAUGGACCGCAGAUAAUGAGAACAUUCUCCCUCUACCUAUCACAGAUAGGUUACUGAGGCCGUAUUACCUACCAGGUUAGCUCAUUUCAUCCUGCCGACAAGUGUGAUCAUCUCCACUUCUCAAAGCACGAAGAGGCUGCCUGACUUGCCCAAGCCUGCAGCUAGUGAAUGCAGGCGCCAGGGGCCCAACCCAGGCAGCCUGACUCCCAGCCCUCGCCCCCAACUGCUCAGCAUCUGCUCCUCCGAGAUGAAGUUCACCUCGUCUGUGGAUUCAAAUGAGGGGCCACAACACUACACUUAGUCCCUUAGUUUGCAUAUCUACCCUGGGACCAUAACCAUACACGGAAUUUCAUUGUAGCAGCUUCAGGAUUUGAGAAACAUCAGGAAGCCUUCAUAUCUGCUUGAAACUGUAUUCUCUCUAGGCCAGGCUUGUGGCUGGAAAGAGAAAGCAGCUUGCAGAGUCAGAGUGUCAGUUACAUUGUAUUGCAAUUCAAGUUCCAAUUACAAAACGUCCCCAACCCCACACUGGUGAUAGAAUUUUGUGGCAUUUCCUAAACAAGGGUACAAAGUUUCCCACAAAAAGUUUUCCGUGAACUUUACAGUUCCCAUGAAGCGAGGUCCUGGACCUCCUGCGUUGGAAUUCCCUGACUGAUCCUGUUUUUCAGUUGUUGGUGUGCAUCCUGACGGUGAGGAGAAGGCUGAGGAGAGCAGGAGUUCAGCACAGCCUGUCAGAGCCUGUUAGCAUAUUCCUGUGGCUACAAGAGAAACGCAGACUGGGCAGGUUUAUAACUGGCUGCGUGGGGCUCCUAUGGGGCUGAUGUCAACCUGAAGGCUGGCUUCUAGAUGGGGUUAGUGAGGACAUGCUGCUGAAAGCGCUCAGAUCGUCAGAGCUGGGCAGGACAGCUGCGCCCUUGAGUGGCUGACAGGAUUUGCACCAGACAGGCCAGGCAAGGUGCCAAGCUGAUAAACUGCCACCUUUUGAGGGGCUUCUGCCACACCCACAGCUGGUGUGGAAGGAUUUCUCAGGCCUUUACCACCUAACACAACUGGCUGGACCCAGGAUCGGUACCAAAGAUGCCACUGAGGUGGCCUGGCCCGAGAACUCUGCCCAGUAGGAGCAUGUCACAAAGAGCUGUGGGUGACUGGCCCACCAAGGUUGGAUUCAGGAUCUGGAAGCAGAAGCCGUGAGGCUGAAAAGCGAGGGAACAGACUCGGCGAGGCGGGGCAGCACGGUGUCCUUGGCUGGGUGCUGUGGGGGAAGUAGGUGUGGCUCCACAGAGGGGCCGCUGGGCACUGAGCUCCGGAUCCCGAGCUGUGGUGACGUUUCCUUCUCAGGAGGCUGUGACGUCCAGCUGCCCCGAUUCCUGCCUCCCUGCUCUCCUGGGGUCCCUCCAGGAAGCCCCCAUAGCUGAGGAACCCAUGCGAGUCUUAUGCUUUGCAAUCUAAGAGAGCCCAUCUUGACCAGUUGGAAUGAAGGCCCAAAUCUGACUCCCUGAAAAGAGAAAGAGAGUCCACAAACGGGAAAAGAGUGAUUCAAAUGGGUCACUGCAGUGUUUAUUGAGCCCCUGCUGUGCACCAGGCACUGGGUGUAGCAAGGCAAAAACUAAACAAAACAGAGCCUUAACCUCAAGGAACUUACCUUCUAAUGGGGGGGAGGAGGAAGGCAGACAGUAUUAAAAUAGAUGUGACUUUACACAUGGCCAGCGUCAGAGGGGACGUUUGAGCAGAGACCUGCUGAAAUGAGUCGCUGGGAAGAGCGUUCCAGAGGGAGGCUAGUAUGUCUGAGGAGUUGAGAGAGACCGGUGGGCCAGAGCUGGGGGCUGGGGGAGCGUGCAGGACCCGAUGCCGUGGCCGGGGGGGUCGGGAUGGUGAGGGCAAUGCAGAGGCCUGUGCACUUCACCCUGAGUGAGAGGAGGGCCUGGGGGUUCUCAGCAGAGGAAUGCGCGCUCUGCCUUCCGUUUUUGAAGGCUCACUCCGGCUGCUGUUGAAGCGAGACUGAAGAGCAUGUGUCAGUUAUCUGGUGCUCCCUGACAAGCCCUCCCCAAAACUUAGUGGGUUAAAACAGCAGCCAUCUUCUUUGCUCCUGAUCCUGUGCGUGGACUGGGGCUCAGCCACAGUUCCUCUGUUGGCCUCACUCGGAGUCCCUCGUGUGAAGCUUUCAGGCGGGAGCCUGGUGGAACCAGCACAUCCAGGAUGGCCUCUGCCUUGGUUUUGUGGGACUGCCAUAACAAAUUACCACAAAUCCGGGGGCUGAAAACAACAGAAACUUAUUCCCUCUCAGUUCUGGAGGCCGAAAGUCUGAAAUCCAGGCGUUGGCAGAGCUGCUUCCUUCUGGAGGCUCCGAGGGAAACUGCGGUCCUUGCCUCUCUCCGGCUUUGGGGGUGGCCACCAAUCCUUGGUGUGCCUUGCCUGACACCUGCGUCACUCCUAUCUGACUCAGUGGUCACAUGUGUUCUCCCUGUGUGUCUCUGUGUCUCUGUGUCCACAUUUCUCAUUUUUUAUGAGUGACAGUCACA